AUUGAACGCUGGCGGCAUGCCUUACACAUGCAAGUCGAACGGCAGCACGGGAGCAAUCCUGGUGGCGAGUGGCGAACGGGUGAGUAAUAUAUCGGAACGUGCCCAGUCGUGGGGAUAACGUAGCGAAAGCUACGCUAAUACCGCAUACGAUCUAUGGAUGAAAGCGGGGGAUCGCAAGACCUCGCGCGAUUGGAGCGGCCGAUAUCAGAUUAAGUAGUUGGUGAGGUAAAGGCUCACCAAGCCGACGAUCUGUAGCUGGUCUGAGAGGACGACCAGCCACACUGGGACUGAGACACGGCCCAGACUCCUACGGGAGGCAGCAGUGGGGGAAUUUUUGGGACAAUGGGCGCGAAGCCUGAUCCAGCAAUGCCGCGUGCAGGAUGAAGGCCUUC
rnacentral:rRNA from 1 species